AUGUGGCCAUGCUUUGGGGCAGUGCUUCUCAAAUGUGGUUGUACAUUUGCAUCACCAGGAAUCCCAUUAAAUGCAGCUUCUGAUCCAGGAAUGAGGGCAGAGGACCACAUGGCACAGAAGACACAGGAGCCCAUGAUGCCACCUUGGGCCAGCAGCCCUUGGAAGCUAAUGCAGAGGCUGAUGUCAGGAAUCCUGACUGUCGUGCCAGGACCACGGUGGGCUUGGGGCCGAGGAUCCUGUGAGCUGGGAAGGGAACAGCGUGGGGCUCAUUCUACUGAGAAGCUGAGGGGGACAGAGUCAAGUGUGACCCGUUGGAAGUGUGAGUCUGUGAAGAUAAGAAGAGAACAAAGGAGUGGGUUCAUUCGAGCCUUCCCUCACUCGUUCACCUUCUAUGUGAGGUGCCCAGCUCUGUGCCAGGCUCCGGGAAACAAAGAUACAGAGACCAGAGCCGCCCUGCCCUGCCUUCAGGGAGCUUGCAUCUGAGGAGUCCCCUGCUCAUCGAUGAGGAGGCUGGGUCAAUGAGCACUGAGAUUUCUUCUAGCUCUGACAUUUGGUGGCUGAAAGGGAGCAAGGAUGGUGGCCUGGCUGGGGGCCACUGGGCUGCCACCGGGGCAUUUUGUGCGGGGAGAGUGGGAGACACUGCUUUCUCUCUGCCUGCAGGGGACACAUGCCUGUGAGGACAUGGGGCUGGACCCCUGCUUUCCUCUGCAGGCACAGAUGGUGAAGCACGCCUUACCGGAGGGCCGCGGUGGUCUGGAACAAAGGCUGGCCUUGGCCUGGCCGCUGCAACCACUGGCGGGACACUACAGUCGGUGAGAUGGGCCUCAGCAGUCACCGCUAAUUGCACGAAACCAAAAAAUCUUGAGAAUAUUUUCAGCCCAUUUGCACUUAUCAAAUAUCACACUGGAAACCCCAGAAAUUUGCGUAGGA
rnacentral:lncRNA from 1 species